rfam:Musa acuminata subsp. malaccensis Doubled-haploid Pahang (DH-Pahang) genomic chromosome, chr1
CCGAGGAAGCGAUAUUGGUGAGGUUCAAUCCGAUGACUGGCUUUACUUGUGACAGUAAACCGGUCUCAGAUUGAGCCGCGCCAAUAUCACUACCUUACUA